ensembl:miRNA
UCUCAUCUUGAAUUGCAUUAGGUUGGUGCAAAAGUAAUUGCGGUUUUUGCCAUUGAAAGUAAUGGCCAAAACCGCAAUUACUUUUGCACCAACCUAAUAAUUCCCAGAAUCGUCACAUA